AGUAGAAUAUCGUAGUGUAGUAUACAGUAGUGUGGUAUAUACAUAAUAGUAUAGCAUAUUUAUGUAUCAGUAUGUAGAACUAACCUGUCUGUGCAACUCCUCCACACAGAGAAGAAGUCGACCAACUGGUGGAAUUUCUGCGCAGAGAAGAAGUCGACUAACUGGUGGAAUUUCGGCGCAGAGAAGGAGUCGACCAACUGGUGGAAUUUCUGCGCAGGUAAACGUUGACGUCACCACGCCUCCACGUGAUCGCUUGUGUGAUGAUGCUGCGAU